GGAUUGAAGGCUGAAAUUCGCCUUCCAUGAAGCUGGAAUUGCUAGUAAUGGCAGGUCAGCAUACUGCCGUGAAUACGUUCCCGGGCCCUUGUACACACCGCCCGUCACACCAUGAGAGUUGGGAAUACCCGAAGCCUGUGAGCUAACUUUUAGAGGCAGCAGUCGAAGGUAGAAUCAAUGAUUGGGGUGAAGUCGUAACAAGGUAGC
rnacentral:rRNA from 1 species